rnacentral:lncRNA from 1 species
GCGGGUCCUGGCGGCUGCGAGCGCGAGGCGGCGCGGAUUCGCGGCUCGGUUCCGGCGCGACUGCUCACCGCGCCCGCCUCGCCUCCCGCGGCUGCCAGCGUGCACUGGGCGCUCCUCGGCGCGUCUGCCCGGCCCGUCUCGGCUUUCCUUCUCCUUCCUCUAGUCCCAGCGUCACAACUCCGCCGACCUCCUCUGCCCUGAGAGCGCGUCCGGUGCGGGCGGAGUCGGACGGACUCUGGCUUCACGCCUCGCGCGGGCACACCUUCUCCCGGGCACUGAGGCCCAGGGGAGGCAGAGUCCUUCUGGAGUUUGACCCUUGGAUUCCAUCCAGAGCAGCCUCCAAAAUGACACCUUUGAAGUUGUGUAUCGAGCUGGGGGAUGUAAAGGGAGGAGAAGAAAGAAGAUGAAGAGAUACCAGCCAGCCUUAAGGAGUGGACAUCCUGCCUGGUGAAACUGAACAAGACACCUACCGCAUAUGGAGUUUCGCUCUGUCGCCCAGGCUGGAGUGCAGUGGUGCCAUCUCGGCUCACCGCAACCUCCACCUCCAGGUUCAAGUGAUUCUCCUGCCUCAGCCUCUC